rnacentral:sRNA from 1 species
AAGAGCUUGCCCUGAAGGAGCAGAUUUCUUUCAGUAAGUAAUUACCAAGCAGGAGGAGGGAAAAGGGCUAAGGAAGCCUGCAAACAACCUCACUGGGAAAUGACACACUGAACAAAUAGAUAUUACUAUGGGGGAAGGCUUUUCUGUUUGUUUGUUUAAUUUUCCAUCUAUUCAACGGAAAGAAAGGGAACAAAAGAAGUCCAGAGAGAAUGUGCAAAUGAUAGGCCAAAGUGGCAUGUUGUGCAUCAGCAGCAGCAGCAGCAGCAACAACAACAACAAGAACAAGAACAAGAAGUCUGAAUUUUUCCCAGGUAUCUCGGUUUCACAGCUGUUACUGGCUAGCUGUGUUUCCACUUAUGGGCGAUGACAUAAGCAGACACUUUAUAGAUUGGAAACACAAAAUGACUCACUUAUUAGGUCAUUCAAUGAGAUUUUUAAAUUAAAAUAUACUUUCAAAAGAAAUUUCGAUUGAUUUUUCCCCCCCAAGAGCUGGGAACUGAAAUUGAGACCUCACAGAUGUUAGUCAUGACUUCUGUUACUGAGUUAAAUACCUUCCGUUCAGCUUAAUAGUUUUAAGGUGAACUUCUCUUUUCUCUUUUUUUAAAAAAUAUGUAACUGUAUCAAGUAAGAUAAAACAAGCUAGAGAGUAACAACUGAGCAACUAGAAUAAGAAUAAGCACUAAAAAUUCUUGAAGCAUAACAAAGAAAAAUAUAAUUUAUCUCCCGGUUCAGGGAGCUAAGAUUACAAAUUAAUGAAUAACCUUAAGUUGGGAAGUUUUUGCGGACUCAAGGCAAAUAUAAAAGAAGGAGUUUGUUUUGACUAUAGAGACAGUUUUUUCCUAUUCUGUACUAGAAUUUGAGUUUUAAGAGUUAUGAUCAGUAAAUCACAAAAUGAUACUUGAUUAGAUAGUAAUUAAUGAAUGUGUGAUUUUCAGAAAUCAAUAGACCGAGUACUAUGAUAGAUUAGAAACGAGUUCUAAAAAUGAAUAAUAUUGAGGACUUCUCUGCUUUGUGGUAUUUAAAAGAAAACGGUCACUUCACAGAACUUGUAGUUCUGGGUGAACUGUUACAGACUUUAUAGGUCAUCUCAACAUCAGGGUUUUGAUCAGUUAAGGAUCACUAAUCACUAGCCACUGACUGGUAUGCCUUCGUCAGCUUCCUGUAGAUAUGCUGUAGCCUCAGAUCGAGCAACACCAAGACCGAUUAUUAUUAUUUUUUUGUGAUCUUUAAAUUUUUCAGUCCUGCAGAAAGCAUAGGAUUAGCAGACCAUCCAAGAUUAGACUAGUAUUAACUACCUCGAAUGAGAGAUGUGAGGGAAAAUAUGGCUAAUUUACUAUUCAAAUGUGAAUUCAGACAUAGAGCAAAUCAAAAUGCUUCUGUUAAUGUUUUCACUAAAAAGUUACAUAGGGUCCUGGGUGUGACCCAUGCUCUGCAAACAGGAGGAUUCGCAGGACCAAUACAGAAAGUUGAACAUGGUUACAUGGAUGACCACAACCAUAGUUUUGUGGAGGAAUGGAGGAGAGGGGACUUCUUUAUUUGCCAGCGCACAGUGAGAAGCCAUCUCAAGGGAUGGAGCAGGGCACCAGAUGCCUGCCCCCGACCUCUGCCUCCAAGGGUAUGUGCAUGUGGAUACGUUCACACAGAUAGCACAUAAACAUUUAUACAUAUUGCGUAAAUUUUACAGACUCGAAGCAAAAAAAAUGGGGAACACUACCCUGUGCCCCCAUGUCCCUUCUCAUAAAAUCCUUUUGUGAAAAGGAGGCUGACUCCUUAGAAAAUUGAAAUUUGGUAAAGCUGCCUUCAAACACCUAUGAGCCAGAGUAGAGACGGAGGUCUUGGGGUCACUCUUUUUUUUCUUUUUCCUCCUUCCUUUCAAAGUUUGGUUCUAGAAAAGAGGAACAGAGAGCCAACAGCUUCUUCAAAAACUCAUAUUCUUUCUUUGUGUUUGAAGAUUCCAUUCUCUUCAGACCCCUUCAAUGUUCAAUGUCCCUUUCAGGAAUAUUGCACAUGGGACAUGAUACAACUAUCAGAGUUGGGACUAUCACCAGUAAAGACAUGUCUACUGGCAAAAUGAAGCAACUGGUCAAACAGCCUCAUGCUACCACACUCAAGCACAAGUAAAGGGAUGUGUACAGGCUGAAAUCCAUGUUUGCACACAUUGGAGCUACACGACACACAGUGUUGUAGAUGCAUUACCCUUGAUACAAUACAGUGUUGUAGAUACAUACCCUUACACAACCCAGCACGGUGUGUGUGUUUCAGACACAACCUCUCUACACAGCAUAGCACAGUGUUGUACACACAUAUUCUCUACAUAACACAGUGUUGUAGAUACAUACUCUCCACAUGACAUGGCACAGUGGGUCAGGACAAAGAAAGUGACAUUUGCAGCAGGAUGAAGAGAGGUGUUGGGCCAUAUGCUUGUUACCUAUCUCAUCCUCACUGAAUAUGUAUGUGUAUAUAUAUAUACAUAUAUAUAUAUAUAUAAUGGAUAUUUUAAUACCUCUUUCCAGUUCUGUCACUCCUUCUGCCAGUUUCAAAAGUCAUAUAAUCUGGAGCUGGAGCAACGACUCAGCGAUCAAGAGUACUUAUUGCUCUUGCAGGGAACAAAGAAUUAGUGCUUGAUCCACAUCUGACAGUCUAUGUCUGCAAUUACAUCUUACAAUAUCUCAAGUGUUGCACAUGUGGAGAUGGUCUCAUGUCUUUUCAAUAGGUGAAGUAGGAUUUAAUGGUUCUUUGUAAACUUGAAGCUCAUUAAGUACUUUAAGAAACCAUGCAAGUCUAUGAUAAAAACCACUAUGCCCUUCACCCACAAUAGGAAAGGUCUAACCCAUUGCGGGUGAUGCCACUCACGGGUUGGUGGUCCUGGGUUGUAUAGGAAAGCAGGCUAGAAAUGCCAUGUGGAGCAAGGCAGUCAGUAGCAUGCCACUAUGGCCUCUGUAUCAGCUCCUGCCUCCAGGUUCCUGCCCUGUUUGAGUUCCUGUCCUGGCUUCCUUUGAUGCUGAGCAGCUAUAAGGAGUGGUAAAUCAUUUGAACCCUUUACUCCCCAACUUGCUUUUUGGUCAUAGUGUUUUUUUCACAGUAAUAGUACUCCUAACAUAGGGUUUCUCUAUAUAGUACUGGCUGUCCUGGUACUCACUAUGUAGACCAAGCUGGCCUUGAAUGCACAGAGAUCCUUCCGAAGGCUGAUGUUAAAGGCAUGUACUAUCGUGUUCAACAAGGAUUACAAUAUUAAUAGUCUAUCAUUAGAACAUGGUGGGUCCUAUGUAACAUUGAGACUUCAAUGCAAGGUUGAAGAAAACCUGCUCACAGUGAUAUGCAGAGGAAGAUUGCGUUUAGGGUUAAGUAAAAGUUAAUGACCAAGAUGUGGGUGGCAAUUACAGAGGAGACAGCAGAGAGUAGAAACACAGGGACACAUGGAAAAUGUUAGCCAUAUGGUACCAAACAGAGGAGCUGUCUUAUUCCCAGAGUUUCCUAAAUCUAACAAAGUCCAUUUGUUUUUGUACAUUUCUAUGUAACUGGUGUGCAUGGGGGUUUCCUGUUCUUUUGUUGUUGUCGAACGUGUACCUGUGUGUGUGUGUGUGUGUGUAGCUGCUCUGAGUCAAUUACUUCUAUUUGUAAUCGAAAUCUUGCUAAGUCACUGUUUUAAACUGUUAUCUAUCUUUUCAUAAAUUUCUAUUUUUCAAAUACAAAUCAAGUUAAAAUGAAUGAUCUGUUGUGGUGCUGAGUGGCAGCCACCGUAAAUUAACGUAUAGGCCUGAAUCUGUACCAAUGAUAUUCUAUCAAGCAUGCUGGAGUUAAGAAUGCAGCUACAUUUGCACCCCCGUACAGAAGUUUUAGAUGGCAUUGUUUUGCUGUGACUGACAUGUCCUACGGUUCCAGCCACAAUAUUAGCACCAAGAUUUUCACCAGCUCCUUAACGUGCUCUUCACUGGAUGUCAAAUUGUUUUAGAAAAGGAGGUUUGGAUUAAAAAAGGUACUAAGAGGGAAAAUAGAGGUCAUGGAAAAUGGCAAAUAUUGUGAUAUGUGUAUGCGUGUGCGUGCGUGUGUGUGUGUGUGUGUGUGUGUGUGUGUGUGUGUGAUGGAUAUGGAAACUUAGUACUAAAAGACAAAUACUCUCUACAGGGAGUUAAAAAAGAACAUCCAUAUGGUUAUUUUAAAAUAGUCAUUAAAAUGCUCAAAGAUAAUAACUUUGUUAAAACAACUUGUGUUAGAAUAAUUAUUAGUUUUAAAGGCAUUGUUGUCUAAUUAACUAAAACAUUUCCAUUUGAGUGUAAAAUAAAUUUGCAGGUAAUUUAAAAAUCCUCCAUGCAUACUGUAGACAGAUAGCCUUUCCUUCACCUUAUAUUUUACAUCCUCUGUGCUGUUUAAACACUGGUGUUACCACCACCUGCCCUACCUCUCCUUAGUCCUGGCAUAUUCCACCUCUAAAGUCAUCAGUGGGGACCAUACCAGUUAUUUGUUACAUGUAAUAAACAUACUCCAUGUAAGUAACGAAUGUCCAGUCAAUGAGACUAAAAGCACCAGCAGGAAGAGACAUUGCCUUUGCUCUGCCACUGCAUGCAUCUCUUUGAGAAGCAUGGUGUGAGGGAGAAAGUAACGUUGUCUCUGAUAUGGUUUAGCCUGCACCAAAUUCCAUGAUUCAUAAACUGAACUAAGACGUAGCUCAUGACAUAAAGUGGUACAGCUCACCAAGAGAUGAUUUCUCUCCAGAAUCUCUGCUUUCCCGUGAUCAUUUCCUUUGAGAUUAGUGACCCAUCAAAGAGUGGGGCAAAGUAAAAAGAGCGGGAGGCAGGCAGAUGAGCACUGGGUUUUUAUUAGCAGAAUGCUCAGCAAGCCCCAUUGAUUUCUGAAGUCUCGACCUUUCUAAGAGUGCAAGUUAUUCAGAAGCAGGGAGAAAGUUAAUGGAAAUAUCAACUUGCCUCUCUCCCCGUCUCCCUGAACAGCUCACUGAUUAGAGGCAGAGGCCAUUGAGAGGCAGCUGCCAAUGCGUGUGGGAGGGUGGGUAUGUUUGCUUUGCUAAGGUCUAGUAUCUAUGUGGCCCCGUUCCUCUGUCUCCUCUUCAUAGACUGUAGGGAUUGGGGGUGGGGUAUUAAUAAAGUUUCAUCCAAAGAAUGAAAAGGGACAAAGGAUGAAGAGACAGAGGAAAACGUAAGCAUAAGAUGGGAGAGAAAGGCUUUCACAUUCCCUCCCACCAGCCAUACUUUCUAUAUCUUUGCUGCAUACUUCUGGGCUCUAUUGGGACAUAGUUAUGUAAAGAGUGAAAGAAUACUUGCUACAAUAUGGAGACCAUAUUGCUCUUGAUUACUAGACAGAGAUAGGAAGGGAAAGGGUGAAAACACAGCUAUAACAAGGUAUCAAGGCACUUUUAAAUAUUUGCAAUGGGGUGUGGACUUGUAACACCUUUGUUGAAAAUGAUAACACAGGACGCAUGUUUGGCGCAUGUUCCUGGGUUUCCACUGCUCAUUGAGGUUUGCUUGGGGACACCAUUGUAGAAUUUGUUUCAGAGUACUAUUAGAGACAUACGUUUUAAAAUUUGUAGCAAAUAGGAUUAUAUUUGGCAACAAGAAUGCUUGUUCCAAAUUCCAACCCCAAACUGUACCUUGGGUCUCCUCCCCCACCCUGUGGUUAGGACCUCACAUACUACAGGGUGUCCUCUCUUUCCAGGGUCUCCAUCCUGCCCAGACAAGACGGUCUCUGAUUACUCGGGUUGGAAAGUAGGAAAGAGUGGAGAUAAAAGGAAAGUUUGGGUUUUGUUGUUUGUUUGUUUGUUUCUAUUUCCCCAUCAGUUGGGAUCAUAAGAUAGCAUCCCACAGUAAGGGCGUGGCAGAUGCUGGAAAGUACAACAGGCCAUUCUGUGGAUUCAGCAGCAGCAGCCCUGCUGGGCCUGUGGCUGUAACUCCUGGGACUCAGGCGUGAUCCCGUACUCCAAGUGCUGCUGCUUAAUCAGACUCCCACCAAACUCUUGGGUUUCUAGUGAUCUAGUCCUACAAACCCUUACUAUUGGGAUCAAUCCACAGAUGCUCUUGAGCAGAAGGGUUAAAAGGAAAAGGUUCAAGGCUAGCUCUCUAUCUUCCUUUCUAUCUUUUCAACCUAGGAUUUGACUAGGUAACCCAUAUUGUGUUAAUGAAGAAACAUACUGAGUAACUCUGAAACAUGGUACAAGAGCCAAACAAAACUCAGGUGAGUCUCCUUAGAAUGAGACCCCCAUUUGUGUCAUGAAACUUGACAGUUCCCUUAUUUAUCUGUCCUUAUCCAUGACACUGGGAGUUCCAAACUCUUGUCAAAUCAUGUUGUCUGUCACAGGUCAUAGUGAAGCCUCACUGUAAUAUGCUCAAGGAAGUUAUAUAGGAUAUACAGAAGAGGAGAGAGAGAGAGAGAGAGAGAGAGAGAAUUACGUUUCUGCUCUUUUCUUUCAAAAUAGAAGGGUGUGUGUCACGCGUGCGUAUGCACACACACACACACACACACACACACACACACCCCACCUCAAGCAGCAAACAUUUAAGACAAUUUUCAGAAUUGCAACUGCUAUUACUGAACAGCAAUAGCAUUCAUAGUGACACGACACCUGUGACAACAAAUGUAAAUAAAAACAAACAAAAGCUGUGCGCAGUCGGCGACUCCACCAUGAUCAUGGCAUGACUCUCACUGGAGGUUUCAGAAGGACCCAAAUGACUCCUAACCAUGUCACCGCGUUGGUGAUACUCACGACAAAGACCACAUUCCAUCUCAGACACAUCAGAUCUGUGGGUAUCAAUCACCCUGUGCAAACCAAACUGAUCUUCAUGUUGGUACAGAAGACCAAGUGGAGACCUUCUUUGCCAUUCCAUGUUACGAUGUGGGUAUGCUUGACUGAAUCGCUUUCAGAAAAGCAAUGGGUGGCUCAUCUGUGACAACAUGUUUGCGGACUAACACAUUCAGAAGAACAACAGAAUAAUGAGCUAAUGUAACAAGUCCCAGGUGGAAUUUAUCGACAACUGUUGACCUAAGCUAUCAUAACUGUUCUUCCUACUACAAGAAGGUAUGUCUAACAGUCUUGCCACCCACAGACCAAGGUGUAAGGAGUGGGGGAGGAGGAUGUCUCAGUGAAAGUCCAUAAUGAGGGACCAUUAAUCUUAACUCCUCCCUAGCCUGUGUCAUUGUCAUUUGCUCCUGAGGACUUCUUGUCACUUCACAAACAGAUGCACUCAGUUGGCUGGGUGGACUGCCUCUCUCUCGCUGUGGGCUGACAUGCUCCACACUCCAGUGCUCUGAGACAGCCCCUUCCCAUAAACACUUCAGGGAUUUGUCAUCCCCCGCCACCAAAGAUCAGUCCCUGGACAACUUUAUCUCUCUGACCAACAGUCUCAUCCCACUCUCUCUCUCUCCUCUCUCCUCUAAGACUCACUUCUAGCUUCUCCAUUACAUCUCAGACCUCCAAAUAUAAAUGAACUCAUUGGUGCCAAGGCUCACGGGGUUUCUGAAGAAAAAGAGAUUGUCGAUUCUUUGUUUUUGUUUUGUUUGUGUCAUUGGGUGGGGUCUCCUUUUGACUUUGUUUACUUUGUCCUGAUUGCUUAAUGUUUACAAAAUAAUGCUGAUUUUUCUCUGGAAAAUAAAAUCAUUUAUCUGUCUCGGUUUCGUCUGGGGUUUUGACUAGACAGUUUUAAUUAACUGGGGCAUAUGUAAGAAUAGAAUUUGUUGUAUCUGUUUUCCUUGAGGCCGUCACAUAUUUCCCACAUAGUUUGCUGACCGAGAUGGUGGGAAUGGCGGAGCUGAGAAGGCAAUCUCCAGUGUGGAAAUCUGAGGAGGCUGAGGAAUGAAAGCGCUACCCACCACUGACGCAAGAUUUAAAAGCUUCGGAACUAUUAACCAGUGAUUUGGAAGCAGAAAACCAUGGAGAGACACAUGACAACAGUCUACAGGAAAAAUGAAGGUGAGCCCUAUGUGAGAUGGUGUGACUCGAGAGGAAAGAGCAAAAGUUCCGCAUGUUCUUGAGAUGUCACCCUGAUGGACAGAGUGUGGAGACCUGGAACUCCAGGGAGAGGAAUUCCAGCAUGAAUGCUGGCCAGACUGACAUCCUCACCAUCACAGACAGACUCAUUGAAUUGGUACCACAGACUUGGGAUUCAGAAGUAUAGGUUCCUUUGCUAAGACUUUAAGGAAAACUAUAUCUAAGAGGUAAAAAGGAUGGAGAGGAGGACCAUGAAGUCAUCCCUUAUCUUUACCCUUUGAUUCCUCCAUCUAACUCCUUGAGAAGGUCUCUGUUUCGUCUAGCUGCAGUGAAUUGAGGCUUUGUGCAAGAUGGUAUUGGUAAAAGAAGUUUCAUGACUUUUCUGUGUGUGGUUCCAGAGAUUAGAGCCAUGCCUUUCCAUGCUGAAUAUACUCUAUCGCUGAGUCACAGCCCUGGCCCAGUUCUUGUACCUAUUACAAGUAAAAUAAUAAAACAAAACCAUCCGAAAAAAUGAAAUAAUUGAAAAUCCUUGGUUUAAAGGUCAAUUUCUAAUUCUCUGAAAAUAUUUAGGGCCAAGAAGAAAGUUGUGUGUGUGUGUGUGUGUG